AAAUAAUUAGCAUAAAAUGUAUUUAGUUUCGACCUAAAAGAAGGAUAAAUAUAUCCAUUAUUUA
rnacentral:tRNA from 1 species